rnacentral:rRNA from 1 species
CAGUAGCCACGGUAAAACGUAGGUGGCAAGCGUUGUCCGGAAUUAUUGGGCGUAAAGGGCUCGCAGGCGGUUUCUUAAGUCUGAUGUGAAAGCCCCCGGCUCAACCGGGGAGGGUCAUUGGAAACUGGGAAACUUGAGUGCAGAAGAGGAGAGUGGAAUUCCACGUGUAGCGGUGAAAUGCGUAGAGAUGUGGAGGAACACCAGUGGCGAAGGCGACUCUCUAGUCUGUAACUGACGCUGAGGAGCGAAAGCGUGGGGAGCGAACAGGAUUAGAUACCCCAGUAGUCCCUGUCUCUUAUAC